AGCAUCCAUAUCCAACAAGAUUCAUAGUUUUGUACGGUUCUUCGUUAUACAUAUCCCAGUGUAUGGCACUCUUCUUGCUUCCUAGCUCAGACAAUACUUCUCGCUUGAUCACUGACGUGUGAUCUGUAGUCAUUUGUAUCUCUGGAUAGUAGGACCGUUUCUUCCUGGAAGUAGACCGCCAAUUACACAGACACACUGCUCUUACAUCAUCUCUUCACGUUACGUUUUUCGGUGAUAGUGGUGUAUUGAACGAUAUAGGUAAUAUAUCACCGUGAAGGAGAUUGAACGAGAGUGUGGGAUACAACAGGAGCAACGCCACCAAGCCCCGUAGGAAUAUCGCAGAAUACCCUUCCCGCUUCUGAAAUACUUCUUUUUCUUUAUCGCCCAAUUUUCCAUUGCACCGUCUUCGUUGCCGGAAAAUAUGAGUGGCAAUUAUCGAUAUGAUUCAGUGGGAGUACUCGCGUUUGAAGAUCCAGAGGAUGGACUAUUAUCACUCUCAGUUGCUCUCCGUUGACGUCGAUGGCUUGACUUGCUAGCAGAUACUGGAAGUCUUUUGGUGUUUUGAUGAUUACAUCGGACAAUCAUGAUAUCGUUCAGGAUCUGUCCCACCGGGUUUGAAGCAAAUACGUGAAGGAGGUGUCGAGUUUAUCUUGUUAUCAACCCACCGGAGAGUUUUCCUUUGCUGGCGGAAUAAUCAAUUUGUAUCGAUGAAUGUGGUGAUUUAUUGAAGAAAUUGAUGAUAUUGAUGGGAUAAUUAUGAUGAUGAUGUUGAUGAUAAUAAU